GUUUUCAUUUUUUACCAUGUUCAGAAUGGUAUGCAACGAUCAUCGUGGACGAUUUUUUUACGUUUUUUGGAUUUUGUUAUUUAUUUUCAAUUACCCAACUGAAUGUGGACAAGAAAAUACUUGACAUUUUUUACCCAUCCGAUUAUAUACGUGUUCACCUAUACAGUAUAUUCAUUCCAUAUCGUUUACAGUAAAAAUGAAAGGAAAAUACCAGACCUUUGUUCAAAGAAAACUCUGUAUGAAACAGACCAUUUUCUUCAUAAAAAAAAUAUUUUUUUUUAGAUUAAUAGUACCAAACCCUCAUAGGGUAAAUGUACUAGUCGCCGGACAUGUAUGAUUAGUCGGAUACGUAUUGUAAUUUCAUUGAUAACCGUUUUGUUAUGAAUGAAAGACCAGUAGGUGUCUGACGACUCAUACAUGCCUGGGAACUGGUACGUUUACCCUACCCGAAUGUAAUAUUUCCUCCGAUUGAUACAUUUGAUGUAGUUUUUAGAAUAUUGAAAUCGAUUUGACUGAAAUAUUUUCUAGUUUUACAAUUUUUUUUAAAACAGAAAUUCACCAAUUGCCAUUUGAUUAGUGAAUUGAACUGUUAAUAAUUGUAAUGAUCAGUCGGUAAAUUAGUUUUAGAUUGUACUAGAACCUACGAAUCUAGUCUUUUGUUUUGUUACAGAUUCUUUAACAUGAUGUCUUCAUAUUGAAGUAUUUUGGGAAUUUAUAUCAAAUUCAACCACUGAGAAUUCCCAAAAUUUGAAGGCAUUCAUGUGGAUUACAAGAAUGGAAAUUCGUGUCUAAUAUUACGGUGUAAUUCACAUUCAUAGUAAUAUUACGAUCAUUUCAACAUUCUUGAUGUCUUCUUUGUGUAGUGAUUGGGAACACAGUGACAUUUGUUUCGAAUUUAUGGUGUAAUUCACCGCAAAAUUACGGUGUACUUCACUGUAAUAUUACGAUCACAAAAUCGUUUGUCACCAAUUCAGUGAAAUGUUUUCCUAAUUCUACGCAGAGAGACGCCAUCAAACUUUUGAAUUUUAGAACUAGAAAACCAUUUGGGCGGUGAAGUGCUGCUCCAAGUGAUCAUUUCAUUUAAAGUCAAUCAACGUUGAGUGAACCCCUAAUUGUUAUUAGUAGCACCCACAAACCUGAUUGAACUUUUUUUUUCUUCAUUCGUUUAUGUACAUUCCCGUUUAGUUUACUUAGUACGUAGAGUAAGAGAAUGUUUUUUAGUUCUAUACCCCGUGUUCUUCGUAUUUUGAUAA